rnacentral:lncRNA from 1 species
AUGGCAAGAGCUCUGAACCUGGAAUCAAAGUCUGAAGCUGAAAUUAAAGUUGCCCAUUCCCUAGCUGACUUCAGUUGGGCUACCAACCUCUCUGACUGUCCAUUUCCUGUACUGGAAAUAGAGGUUUCCAGGCUGACCUAGGAUACAGCCCUGAGUGGAUACCAACAAGGGAUAAUGCGGGGCUUCUGUGAGUCAGUUCUAUAUACUGUGGGUCAUAUAGUUAGCUCUAUUCUAAAUAAUGUAACAGAGCUGGGAAUAUUUCCAUUUGAGUUGCUCAGCACAGGACGGUUGAGGUAGGUUUCAAGUGAAGUAAAAUAGGACACCUAGAAGUGACCUGAGCCCUUUGUCCACUGGUGUGAUGGAAGUUGUCAAACAGUACACAGAGAAUCUGAUGGUGCAUGGUGGAGAUGAAUUUUUUUUCCCUUUGAACAUUAUGAUACCUCACCUUUUUUGAUAGCUUUAUUGAGAGAUAAGUCACAUACUGUACAGUUCACCCAUUUAAGUGGUUUUUAGUAUUCGUAGACCUGUGUGACCCUUACUGUGAUUUUUGAACAUUUGUUAUCCUGAGAAGAAACCUCGUACCUUUUAGCAUUCACCUCACCAUUUUUUCAGAUCACCCAGUCCUAGGCAACCACUAAUCACUGGUCUGGUCUGUCUCUAGACUUGGUAGAGAUGCUUUUUAGACUGCAUUAUCCCACCCUGUGGUCUCUAGGAGCACCAUGCAAAGAACUUCUAUUUUGGUUUUUAUCUUUUUCAUCUUUUUAUUCUAACACAUGGUGUGGGAAGGAGGGUGCUGUGCACACACAAGUCUCACACAGGAGCAUUGGAUGGCGGACCAUUGAAUUUCUAGGCUCCACAGUCAGACCAGCUACGGAUUUGACCGAUAAAUAACUUGCUGCUGCUCAUCACCACUAGGUGGUGCUGCUGGUUCAUCCCACUGACCUAUACUCAGCCUUGGCAGGGGUGGCUCUUGGGGGAGGGUACCAGGAUCCAUCUUCUUGCCUGGACACUGGGAAUAACCCAAAAAAUGUACUACAGCCAUGGAUAUUCCUGGAAGAGAAAGGCAAAUGGGCACCCAGAGCAGAGGACUCGUGAGUGCCAAUAAUAAUAAAGGUGGCAACAGUAUUCUGUAAAACAGUGGUCACUGCCAUUACGGACCAUACUGGAUACCAUCAUAGGCACUUUACAUACAUCAUCUCUACUCUUCAUACCCAGCAAGGCACAUAUAUUGCAUCUAAUUUACAAAGGGAGAAACCAAGGUUCCAGAAGAUAAAGUGACUUUCUGGAGGCCACAUGGCUGCCUCAGGUGCUGUCUGAAGACCACACACUGGCUUCCAGAGCUUGGCACACAGAAAAGGAAGCAAAAGUGCACUAUGGAGACCACUGGGGAGGGCCCAGAGCACAGAGACACAGCUGCAGGUGCAGAACCGUGUCAGCUAACAGGAAAGGGAAUGAGUGCUGGAUGGAGGGGAAGAACCAGGGCAUGGGGGUGUGAGAUGCGUUACUAGGCCUUUGGAGACUGUAGACGAGGAGACCUGGACCUACUUUCAGCGCUUAUGACAUUCUUUGGGAAGCAAAAACUACAAUCAAUGUUCUAAAAUUGGACUGUGUUGAUGACUGCACAACUGUAUACAUGUACUAAGAGCCUUCAAAUUGCUCUCUCACAAUGGGUGAAUUGUAUGGUGAGUAAAUUACACCUCAAGAAAGCUAAUGUGAAAUUUAUAAUCAUGAAACCAAUAGCAAUGGGGGUGCCAAGUUAGUGGGUCUCAGAGGUGCUGUAGGCACUUUGCGAAGAGGGUAAGAGUAUUAUCUUGGAGUAGAAAGCCUGGUUGAUGGCUGUCCAGCAUCUGCUUGAAUGUUUUCAGUAUCAGGGAGCUCAGUACCUCACAAAACAGCCCAUUCUAGUUUGGGAUGACUAAUCCUCAGAAAGUUGAGAUCUAUCACUUGCCCUUAUCCUUCAGAGCAGAAUAAACCUCUUUGCUUUGUCAUGUAAUAUUCCCUCAAGUCAUUUUUAUCCCACACCAAACCCUCAGGAUUUUUCAUAUGUAAGAUGUCUAGCCUCUCCUAUUCUUCUGGUAGCUCUCUGCCAUACUUGCUUUGAUCUGUCAGCAUUCUUAAAAUGUGGGGGCCAGUGGUGAGCCUGAUAAUCUAGAUGCCAGCCCAGUGAUGUGGCUAACAGUUUGAAUCCUAGACUUAAGCUCUCUGAGUUCAAAUCUUCACAAAAGGUCAGCUGUGUGACAAUGGAUAAAAGUGCCAACCUCUCUGAGCCUUAUAUUUUAAUCUAGCCUUAUUCAUCUUCCCAGGAAUCCUCAAAGAUACUGUCAGGUGCUUUGGCAAAAAUAUACAGUAUGCAUAGCAGUGUCUCCAUAUACCAGUCAACAUUGGAAAUGAGGUUAAUUUGACCAGUUAUCUUUAGUACUUUGGCCACUAGUAACACCUGCCCAUCUUCCCUAAGGGCUCAAAACCUUGCUGACUCCAGAUCAACAUUAGACCUGCCAGUCUGUACUUUCUGGAGUCCACUUUCAGAUAUGGGCAACAUUUCCCUAUCUCCAGUUUCUCCCCACCUCUCAUAGCUUCCUGAUUUCUCAAUAUUUACCAGUAGGGGUUCUGCAGUCACACCAGAGAGUUCUUGGAUAUAUUUAGUUGGAAUCAGAAGAGCUGAGCCCAUGUAAAGGAGCAGGGCUCUCCUUGAGCACUGCGUCAUCUAUCUUGGGUCCCAAUUAUCCCCUAAUAAUGUUUGUUAGCCUUUUCAGCUUGAAGAUUAUUCUCUUUAACAUAGGAAAUGGAAAUAGGAAGAAAGGAUACUAGCUUUUUCCCAGUCUUUUAUUAAUAUCUUUUAUUAAUAUCAUGUUAUCUGCCUGGAACGUCUCUUCCCUAUUAUUCUUGCUUGGAAAAAAAUUUAACUUUUAAAGGCUGCCUUUGUUAUAGUUAUAUUUUAUCACAAGACCUCAUCAUUCUGGCAUUCGAUAAUAAUACCACCUAAUAUCUCUUGAAUACUUGUUCUAGUCGCCAUGCUGUCUUCCACGUUAUUUGUUUCGGCAGUAGACAUUUCCAAAACCAUCCUUAUAUCAUUUGUCCUUCAGUUUUUCUCAUUCCUGUCCUCUUAAAAUCUGAGUUUAGCCUGGGCUCCCAGUGUAGCCACUUGGAUUUCUUUAAAAGCCACUUCCCUUCCUCCUGAUUGG